CACUGCCGAGAAAAGCCUCUAGAUAGAAAAUAGGUGCCCGUACCGCAAACCGACACAGGUAGUCAAGAUGAGAAUUCUAAGGUGAGCGAGCGAACUCUCGUUAAGGAACUCGGCAAAAUGACCCCGUAACUUCGGGAGAAGGGGUGCUCUUUAGGGUUAACGCCCAGAAGAGCCGCAGUGAAUAGGCCCAAGCGACUGUUUAUCAAAAACACAGGUCUCUGCUAAACCGUAAGGUGAUGUAUAGGGGCUGACGCCUGCCCGGUGCUGGAAGGUUAAGAGGAGUGGUUAGCUUCUGCGAAGCUACGAAUCGAAGCCCCAGUAAACGGCGGCCGUAACUAUAACGGUCCUAAGGUAGCGAAAUUCCUUGUCGGGUAAGUUCCGACCCGCACGAAAGGCGUAACGAUUUGGGCACUGUCUCAACGAGAGACUCGGUGAAAUCAUAGUACCUGUGAAGAUGCAGGUUACCCGCGACAGGACGGAAAGACCCCGUGGAGCUUUACUGUAGCCUGAUAUUGAAAUUCGGCACAGCU
rnacentral:rRNA from 1 species